CUACGUGCCAGCAGCCGCGGUAAUACGGAGGAUGCGAGCGUUAUCCGGAUUUAUUGGGUUUAAAGGGUGCGUAGGCGGCCUGUUAAGUCAGCGGUGAAAUCUAGGAGCUUAACUCCUAAAUUGCCAUUGAUACUGGCGGGCUUGAGUGUAGAUGAGGUAGGCGGAAUGCGUGGUGUAGCGGUGGAAUGCAUAGAUAUCACGCAGAACUCCGAUUGCGAAGGCAGCUUACUAAGGUACAACUGACGCUGAAGCACGAAAGCGUGGGUAUCAAACAGGAUUAGAUACCCUGGUAGUCCACGCAGUAAACGAUGAUAACUGGGCGUAUGCGAUAUACAGUAUGCUCCUAAGCGAAAGCGUUAAGUUAUCCACCUGGGGAGUACGCCGGCAACGGUGAAACUCAAAGGAAUUGACGGGGGCCCGCACAAGCGGAGGAACAUGUGGUUUAAUUCGAUGAUACGCGAGGAACCUUACCCGGGCUUGAAC
rnacentral:rRNA from 1 species